rnacentral:rRNA from 1 species
CCCGCACAAGCAGCGGAGCGUGUGGUUUAAUUCGAUGCAACGCGAAGAACCUUACCAGGGUUUGACAUGCUUAAAGUAGGAACUCGAAAGAGGGACGACCUGUAUCCAGUCAGGAGUUUGCACAGGUGCUGCAUGGCUGUCGUCAGCUCGUGCCGUGAGGUGUUAGGUUAAGUCCUGCAACGAGCGCAACCCUCGUCGCUAGUUGUUUUCUCUAGCGAUACUGCCCGUAUAACGUGGAGGAAGGUGGGGAUGACGUCAAGUCAGCAUGGCCCUUACAUCCUGGGCUACACACACGCUACAAUGGGUGAUACAACAGGUUGCAAUAGAGUAAUCUGGAGCCAAUCCCUAAAAUCAUCCUCAGUACGGAUUGCAGGCUGCAACUGCCUGCAUGAAGUUGGAGUUGCUAGUAAACGCAGGUCAGCACACUGCGUUGAAUACGUUCUCGGGCCUU